GACGAACGCUGGCGGCGUGCUUAACACAUGCAAGUCGAACGGAAAGGCCCUGCUUUUGUGGGGUGCUCGAGAGGCGAACGGGUGAGUAACACGUGAGUAACCUGCCCUUGACUUUGGGAUAACUUCAGGAAACUGGGGCUAAUACCGGAUAGGAGCUCCUGCUGCAUGGUGGGGGUUGGAAAGUUUCGGCGGUUGGGAUGGACUCGCGGCUUAUCAGCUUGUUGGUGGGGUAGUGGCUUACCAAGGCUUUGACGGGUAGCCGGCCUGAGAGGGUGACCGGCCACAUUGGGACUGAGAUACGGCCCAGACUCCUACGGGAGGCAGCAGUGGGGAAUAUUGCACAAUGGGCGGAAGCCUGAUGCAGCAACGCCGCGUGCGGGAUGACGGCCUUCGGGUUGUAAACCGCUUUCGCCUGUGACGAAGCGUGAGUGACGGUAAUGGGUAAAGAAGCACCGGCUAACUACGUG
rnacentral:rRNA from 1 species